rnacentral:rRNA from 1 species
UGACGGUACCUUAUGAGAAAGCCACGGCUAACUACGUGCCAGCAGCCGCGGUAAUACGUAGGGGGCUAGCGUUAUCCGGAAUUACUGGGCGUAAAGGGUGCGUAGGUGGUUUCUUAAGUCAGAGGUGAAAGGCUACGGCUCAACCGUAGUAAGCCUUUGAAACUGAGAAACUUGAGUGCAGGAGAGGAGAGUAGAAUUCCUAGUGUAGCGGUGAAAUGCGUAGAUAUUAGGAGGAAUACCAGUUGCGAAGGCGGCUCUCUGGACUGUAACUGACACUGAGGCACGAAAGCGUGGGGAGCAAACAGGAUUAGAUACCCUGGUAGUCCACGCCGUAAACGAUGAGUACUAGCUGUCGGAGGUUACCCCCUUCGGUGGCGCAGCUAACGCAUUAAGUACUCCGCCUGGGAAGUACGCUCGCAAGAGUGAAACUCAAGGGAAUUGACGGGGACCCGCACAAGUAGCGGGGCAUGUGGUUUAAUUCGAAGCAACGCGAAGAACCUUACCUAAGCUUGACAUCCUUUUGACCUCUCCCUAAUCGGAGAUUUCCCUUCGGGGACAGAAGUGACAGGUGGUGCAUGGUUGUCGUCAGCUCGUGUCGUGAGAUGUUGGGUUAAGUCCCGCAACGAGCGCAACCCUUGCCUUUAGUUGCCAGCAUUAAGUUGGGCACUCUAGAGGGACUGCCAGGGAUAACCUGGAGGAAGGUGGGGAUGACGUCAAAUCAUCAUGCCCCUUAUGCUUAGGGCUACACACGUGCUACAAUGGGUGGUACAGAGGGCAGCCAAGUCGUGAGGCGGAGCUAAUCCCUUAAAGCCAUUCUCAGUUCGGAUUGUAGGCUGAAACUCGCCUACAUGAAGCUGGAGUUACUAGUAAUCGCAGAUCAGAAUGCUGCGGUGAAUGCGUUCCCGGGUCUUGCACACACCGCCCGUCA